AGUGAACGCUGGCGGUAGGCCUAACACAUGCAAGUCGAACGGCAGCACAGUAAGAGCUUGCUCUUACGGGUGGCGAGUGGCGGACGGGUGAGGAAUACAUCGGAAUCUACUUUUUCGUGGGGGAUAACGUAGGGAAACUUACGCUAAUACCGCAUACGACCUACGGUGAAAGCAGGGGAUCUUCGGACCUUGCGCGAUUGAAUGAGCCGAUGUCGGAUUAGCUAGUUGGCGGGGUAAAGGCCCACCAAGGCGACGAUCCGUAGCUGGUCUGAGAGGAUGAUCAGCCACACUGGAACUGGGACACGGUCCAGACUCCUACGGGAGGCAGCAGUGGGGAAUAUUGGACAAUGGGCGCAAGCCUGAUCCAGCCAUACCGCGUGGGUGAAGAAGGCCUUCGGGUUGUAAAGCCCUUUUGUUGGGAAAGAAAAGCAGCAGGUUAAUACCCCGCUGUUCUGACGGUACCCAAAGAAUAAGCACCGGCUAACUUCGUG
rnacentral:rRNA from 1 species